CCUACGGGAGGCAGCAGUGGGGAAUAUUGGACAAUGGGGGGAACCCUGAUCCAGCGACGCCGCGUGAGUGAAGAAGUAUUUCGGUAUGUAAAGCUCUAUCAGCAGGGAAGAAAAUGACGGUACCUGACUAAGAAGCCCCGGCUAACUACGUGCCAGUAGCCGCGGUAAUACGUAGGGGGCAAGCGUUAUCCGGAUUUACUGGGUGUAAAGGGAGCGUAGACGGUGCAGCAAGUCUGAUGUGAAAGGUCGGGGCCCAACCCCGGGACUGCAUUGGAAACUGUUUAACUGGAGUGCAGGAGAGGUAAGCGGAAUUCCUAGUGUAGCGGUGAAAUGCGUAGAUAUUAGGAGGAACACCAGUGGCGAAGGCGGCUUACUGGACUGUAACUGACGUUGAGGCUCGAAAGCGUGGGGAGCAAACAGGAUUAGAUACCCGGGUAGUC
rnacentral:rRNA from 1 species